rnacentral:piRNA from 1 species
UUGGUGAAGAUCUUAGAUGGGCCCCUUUGU